GAUGAACGCUGGCGGCGUGCCUAAUACAUGCAAGUCGAGCGAACAGACGAGGAGCUUGCUCCUCUGACGUUAGCGGCGGACGGGUGAGUAACACGUGGAUAACCUACCUAUAAGACUGGGAUAACUUCGGGAAACCGGAGCUAAUACCGGAUAAUAUAUUGAACCGCAUGGUUCAAUAGUGAAAGACGGUUUUGGUGUCGCUUAUAGAUGGAACCGCGUCGCAUUAGCUAGUUGGUAGGGUAACGGCUUACCAAGGCAACGAUCCAUAGCCGACCUGAGAGGAUGGUCCGCCACACUGGGACUGAGACACGGCCCAGAUUACUGCGGGAGGCAGCAGUGGGGAAUAUUGGACAAUGGGCGAAAGCCUGAUCCAGCAAUGCCGCGUGAGUGAUGAAGGCCUUAGGGUUGUAAAGCUCUUUUACCCGGGAUGAUAAUGACAGUACCGGGAGAAUAAGCUCCGGCUAACUCCGUG
rnacentral:rRNA from 1 species